CGGACGGGUGAGUAGUGUCUGGGAAACUGCCCGAUGGAGGGGGAUAACUACUGGAAACGGUAGCUAAUACCGCAUAACGUCGCAAGACCAAAGAGGGGACCUUCGGGCCUCUUGCCAUCGGAUGUGCCCAGAUGGGAUUAGCUAGUAGGUGGGGUAACGGCUCACCUAGGCGACGAUCCCUAGCUGGUCUGAGAGGAUGACCAGCCACACUGGAACUGAGACACGGUCCAG
rnacentral:rRNA from 1 species